rnacentral:rRNA from 1 species
AGGACGAACGCUGGCGGCGUGCUUAACACAUGCAAGUCGAGCGGUAAGGCCCUUCGGGGUACACGAGCGGCGAACGGGUGAGUAACACGUGAGCAAUCUGCCCUCCACAUCGGGAUAACCCCCGGAAACGGGAGCUAAUACCGGAUACGACCACUUCAGGCAUCUGAUGGUGGUGGAAAGUUCUGGCGGUGGAGGAUGAGCUCGCGGCCUAUCAGCUUGUUGGUGGGGUAAUGGCCCACCAAGGCUUCGACGGGUAGCCGGCCUGAGAGGGUGACCGGCCACACUGGGACUGAGACACGGCCCAGACUCCUACGGGAGGCAGCAGUGGGGAAUAUUGGACAAUGGGCGAAAGCCUGAUCCAGCAACGCCGCGUGAGGGAUGACGGCCUUCGGUUGUAACCUCUUCAGCGCAGACGAAGCGAAAGUGACGGUAUGCGCAGAAGAAGCACCGGCCAACUACGCGCCAGCAGCCGC